rnacentral:rRNA from 1 species
UUUAAAUGGCCGCAGUAUACUAACUGUGCAAAGGUAGCAUAAUCAUUAGUCUUUUAAUUGGAGGCUGGUAUGAAUGGUUGGACGAGAUAUUAACUGUUUCAUAAAGAUUUUUAUUAGAAUUUUAUUUUUUAGUCAAAAAGCUAAAAUUUAUUUAAAAGACGAGAAGACCCUAUAAAUCUUUAUAUUUACAUUAUUAUAAUUUUAUAGAUUAUUUUUAUUAUGAUAAUAAUAAUAUUUUAUUGGGGUGAUAUUAAAAUUUAAUAAACUUUUAAUUUUUAAAAUCAUUAAUUUAUGAGCAAUUGAUCCGUUAUUAACGAUUAAAAAAUCAAGUUACUUUAGGGAUAACAGCGUAAUUUUUUUGGAGAGUUCUUAUCGAUAAAAAAGAUUGCGACCUCGAUGUUGGAUUAAGAUAUAAUUUUAGGUGUAGUCGCUUAAA